UACAGAGGGUGCGAGCGUUUGUUCGGAAUUAUUGGGCGUAAAGGGCGCGUAGGCGGCGCCACAAGUCACUUGUGAAAACUCUGGGCUCAACUCAGAGCCUGCAAGCGAAACUGUGGUGCUGGAGUAUGGGAGAGGCGCGUGGAAUUGCAGGUGUAGCGGUGAAAUGCGUAGAUAUCUGCAGGAACACCCGUGGCGAAAGCGGCGCGCUGGACCACUACUGACGCUGAGGAACGAAAGCUAGGGGAGCAAACAGG
rnacentral:rRNA from 1 species